UGGGGAAUUUUGGACAAUGGACGCAAGUCUGAUCCAGCCAUUCCGCGUGCAGGAUGAAGGCCCUCGGGUUGUAAACUGCUUUUGUACGGAACAAAAAGGCUCUGGUUAAUACCUGGGGCUGAUGACGGUACCGUAAGAAUAAGCACCGGCUACCUACGUGCCAGCAGCCGCGGUAAUACGUAGGGUGCAAGCGUUAAUCGGAAUUACUGGGCGUAAAGCGUGCGCAGGCGGUUAUGUAAGACAGGUGUGAAAUCCCCGGGCUUAACCUGGGAACUGCAUUUGUGACUGCAUAGCUAGAGUACGGUAGAGGGGGAUGGAAUUCCGCGUGUAGCAGUGAAAUGCGUAGAUAUGCGGAGGAACACCGAUGGCGAAGGCAAUCCCCUGGACCUGUACUGACGCUCAUGCACGAAAGCGUGGGGAGCAAAC
rnacentral:rRNA from 1 species